rnacentral:rRNA from 1 species
GUAGUCUCGCACAGAUGCAUAUCAAUAAGCGGAGGAAAAGAAACUAACUAAGGAUUCCCCUAGUAACGGCGAGUGAAGCGGGAAGAGCUCAAAUUUGAAAUCUUAAAGGGUUUCCCUUUACGAAUUGUAGUUUAAAGAAGUGUUUUCUGUUGAGGUUUUGGUAAAAGUUCUUUGGAAUAGGACAUCAUAGAGGGUGAGAAUCCCGUAUUUGACCUUUACUUUCCAACUUUGUGAUACACCUUCAAAGAGUCGGAUUGUUUGGGAAUGCAGUCCAAAAUGGGUGGUAAAUUUCAUCUAAAGCUAAAUAUUGGCGAGAGACCGAUAGCGAACAAGUACCGUGAGGGAAAGAUGAAAAGAACUUUGAAAAGAGAGUUAAACAGUACGUGAAAUUGUCAAAAGGGAAGCGUUUGACACCAGUGUUGUUUUUCUGAAAAUCAAUUAAAGAACUGUUUAUGCUAAGCUGUUUAGACUUUAUCAGCUAUCUGUUUAGUUUUGAGCUUUUCUUUAAUGCACUUUUCAGUUAACAAGUCAACAUCAAUUUCUUUUGCUGUAAAAAAGCUUGAGGAAGGUGGCUUGAGAUUCGUCUUAAGUGUUUAUAGCCUCUUGCCUAUGCAGUCGGAGAGAUUGAGGUCUGCAGCGUAGAUCCUUCGGGGCUAAAUGCAUUUGUGCUAAGUUAUAGCAUUUUAUAGACAACUUGUUGACUAUGAUUUGUCUUGUAGCUUACUCGCUUAUGUUAUUUUACCUACGCUUAGGAUGUUGAGUAGCGACAUACGCAC